CCUACGGGGGGCAGCAGUGAGGAAUAUUGGUCAAUGGUCGGGAGACUGAACCAGCCAAGCCGCGUGAGGGAUGAAGGUACAGAGUAUCGUAAACCUCUUUUGUCAGGGAACAAAGGCGGGGACGUGUCCCCGGAUGAGUGUACCUGAAGAAAAAGCAUCGGCUAACUCCGUGCCAGCAGCCGCGGUAAUACGGAGGAUGCGAGCGUUAUCCGGAUUUAUUGGGGUUAAAGGGUGCGAAGGCGGUCUGUUAAGUCAGCGGUAAAAGCCCGGGGCUCAACCCCGGACCGCCGUUGAAACUGGCAGUCUCGAGUUGGAGAGAGGUAUGCGGAAUGCGCGGUGUAGCGGUGAAAUGCAUAGAUAUCGCGAAGAACUCCGAUUGCGAAGGCAGCAUGCCGGCUCCACACUGACGCUGAGGCACGAAAGCGUGGGUAUCGAACAGGAUUAGAUACCCCAGUAGUC
rnacentral:rRNA from 1 species